AAUAAAAAUAAAAAAAUAUUUGCCGUGUGCACUUUGGUAGAAACACGGCAAAUAGAGCUAUGCCGUGGUCUUUCCUGGAAGGAACACGGCGAAGGGCCCUUUGCCGUGUUCAACGGUUAGGCACACGGCAAAGGUGAGGGACUUAGGGUUUUGUACGUGGCCGGAAUAGUUGGAUAGGAAAAAAAAAAGAAAAAUCGCCCUCCUCUGCCUCAUCCCGCACCCGACCCUGCGCCGCCGUCCCCGACCUCCCCCCGCGACCCCACGCUACCGCCGCCAACCUCGCGCCGCCGUCGACCACGGCCGCCCCCUGCCCCUGCCCGCCCCCGCCGCCCGCUGCUCCUGCCCGCGCUCACGCCCGCCGUCCCCUGCCCCUGCCCGCGCCCGCGCCCGCCGCCACCUGCUGCUGCUGCGAGCCCACCGCCCGGGGCUGCUGCUGCGAGGCCGUCGCCCGGAGCUGCUGCUGCGAGCCCGCUGCCUGCUGCGAGGCCUCCGCCCGGAGCUGCUGCUGCGAGCCCGCCGCCCGGCCGGUGCUGCUGCUUCGUGGUGCUGCUCUGGCUGCGCGCUGCUGCAGCUCCGGCGACCCUCUGCUUCUGCCCACCGGAUAACCUGAUGCCUCGCUCUCCCACAACGGCCAUGUUCUGCAGUCAGAACUUAGUCAGAUCCUGCAAUCUUGAGGAUCUGCGUCGAGUUUGAGGGUAGGGCACCGUCUUCGCAGGGCAUCUUCGGCGGCGAUCGAUCACGCUUCGAGGGUAAGGCCUUUCCACCUCUCGUGCCUAGGUCCUUGAUGCCGACUGGCGGGACUGGUCCUCAUGCUCCUCCUCCUCCUUUCACCUUCCCUUGGGUAAGUAGUCGGUACAUAUGCCAUUUUAUGCCAUUUUGCUGUCUUUGCGUAUAUUGUUAAAUAAUGCUCACCAUUUGUUGUUGUAGUCACAUAGUUCGGUUGGCGGCUCCGACCAUGCGGCUCAAGGUGAAUUGGAAAUCACGCCGACGCCUCGUACGUCAGCUCAGCAAAGCACGAACAUUGGGAACCAACGCGUGUUGUUCCAGGUUAGUUCUCCUAAAUUGGUGACUCACACGCUUCUAAGUUUAGCUUCACUCGCUCUAGUCUUCAAACUCAUCAAAAUUGCAACUUCUCAAACAUAUAUGACUUGUCAAUCUCACUUUAUUGUCCAAACUUGUCAAAUUUGCAACUUGUAAAAAAUAUAUGAUGUGCCAAUCUCACAAUGCCCUCUUGAUUUGAAACUUGUAGGAUGCGCAACAUGAUGCCCCUUGAUCAUCACCGGCGUGGCCAACAUGUAGAGCCCUUGAUCAUCAAGGUUUUUAUGUGUUUGCGGUGGACAUGUGGCUAGCUUUGCCUUAUAUAAUGGUGUUUAUGUACUUUGCACUAUGGAUAUGUAACCACUAUGGACUAUAUGACUUCUUUGAACAUUUGAUGGAUUUGAUGGACUAUGUGACUUGUAUGGACAUUUGAUGAACUAUGUGACUUGUAUGAACAUUUGAUGAACUAUGUGACUUCUAUGGACAUUUGAUGAUCUAUUUUGUUGUUA